rnacentral:misc_RNA from 1 species
GAUGAAGAACGCAGCAAAAUGCGAUAAGUAAUGUGAAUUGCAGAAUUCAGUGAAUCAUCGAAUCUUUGAACGCACAUUGCGCCCGCUGGUAUUCCGGCGGGCAUGCCUGUUCGAGCGUCAUUUCAACCCUCAAGCCCCCGGGUUUGGUGUUGGGGAUCGGCUCUGCCCUUCUGGGCGGUGCCGCCCCCGAAAUACAUUGGCGGUCUCGCUGCAGCCUCCAUCGCGUAGUAGCUAACACCUCGCAACUGGAACGCGGCGCGGCCAUGCCGUAAAACCCCAACUUCUGAAUGUUGACCUCGGAUCAGGUAGGAAUACCCGCUGAACUUAAGCAUAUCAAUAAGCGGAGGA